CUCAGUCCUAGGGAAUUUUGUGGGCACUCGAGCUCAGAAACGUCCCAGGCAUGUAAGCAAGCUUUAUUCUUAUUUGCGUCUGGGCUCCAAGGAGAAAAUGGGGGGUUCCAAGUGCCAGCUUACACAACGCUCUCAUGGAGGCACAGAGACGGUCUCUGCAGCUGUGUUUCUGGGAUGAGAAGGCAUUGUGCCCACAUCCACUGCAGAGGAGGAGGAAUGGGCAAAAGGUGAAGUCACUGCAAACACUGAGUACAGGAAGAAAGCUGAGGCUUGUCUUCAUCUUGCAAGAUGUCUGGGCACCUAAUGCUUCGGAAGACGUUGGUUCUCAGAAGGUCAUGCCGGCAUCCAGGGGCAAAAUCUGGGUCUGCUUGACCGAGGACUCCGCAAAUCCCAGAGCAGGCCUGAACCGGGAUUCUCUUGAAGGUUCUGCUAUCCUGAGACCGGGCCAGUCAGCUGCCCUCAAAGGAGCUCCAUCUCCUCUCGGAUUCUGCAAGUCCCAGUGUAAGUGCUGCACUGUGAACCCGGGAGGCAUUCACUAAAUAUUGUGGAAGAUGACGUGAGUGGAGCCAUAUUAAAAUAGAGCCAGAGCAGCCACUUUGGAGGCAUUGCCUUGCACAUCUUGUUUUCCCUAUCUUGCAAACUGGACCAAAAUGCCAACAUUCCAAGAAGUCAGUAAGGAUAAGAAUAUCCUGUCUGUAAGGACUGAUGAAACUAGACUUUUCUGAUGACUGCAUUGCUAACCAAUCAGUGAAGUACAAGUCUAGCGUUUGCCUGAAGAUCGACCUCAGGUCAAUCUAAGAAGUCGAAAUCCAGCCUCACCUUACCCAACACCAACGCACUCUUCUUUAAUACAGCUCACUUCAUCCUCCCCCUUUGCCAUAAAAACCCUAAGCUCUUCUCCUAUAAUCAGGACACUAUUUGGGUUUGUACGUGAAUCUGUGCUCCCCAAAUUGCAAUUCGUUGAUCCCAAAAAAACGCUUUGCCUCUUAAACUGGUUUCUGUUUUUGUGGGUUGACAAUAUCUUCUUGAAUCUGGGGUCAGGACAUCUGGGUUUGAGGCUUGCAAUUAGUGGCUGUGUGACCCAGGUCGUCAGAUCUUUCUCAGUCUCACUUCUCUGUAAAAUUAGGAUGUUGAACUAGAUGAUCUUUAAGGUCCCUUCCAAAUCUCAGAUUCUAUGAUUCAGUGUAGUCUAUUCUUACCCCUGAAAAAAUAAGUCUAAACAUAAGCCUUACUGAUGAUGGGUGUAGUUGGCCACUGGGUUCGAGAUGAACACAAAUUCUUUGAUCCUCUUCCCAGAGAGAGGUGGGGUAUUUCCCCUCCUCAUGAUUCUGGGCUGCACUGUGACUUGCUUUGACCAGUAAUAGACUGCAGCAGAAGUGACACUGUGUCAGUUCUGGGCACAGUAAAUGGGCAUCUGAGGCAGGAUUGGGGUGAGGUAGGGGGAUAGAAGGUGAGGAAGAAAUUGCAAACACCGGGGGACUCCAAAGAAAGGCCUCUAAUAGGGUCUGGCUUUAUGUGUCCUGGAACACUUGCUGUUAGGGGCCUGAACUCUCAUGUAAGAAGUCUGGCCACUUUGCUGGAGAGACUACAUGAGGAGGCCUUGAGUCUGCAUGGAGACAGAGGGGCCCAUGGAGUCCAGCCUCACAGCCACCCCUGCCGAGGUGUCAGGUAUGUGAGUAAAAUUGUUUUGGACCCUCCAGAUCAGCUCCACCACUAGCUGAAUACCACUGAGUGAUCCCAGUGGAGGCCGCCUGGAGCAGGAGAACCACCUGGCUGAGCCCUGCCCUUUUUC
rnacentral:lncRNA from 1 species